AGUGAACGCUGGCGGUAGGCCUAACACAUGCAAGUCGAACGGCAGCACAGUAAGAGCUUGCUCUUACGGGUGGCGAGUGGCGGACGGGUGAGGAAUACAUCGGAAUCUACUUUUUCGGGGGGGAUAACGUGGGGAAACUUACGCUAAUACCGCAUACGCCCUACGGGUAAAAGCAGGGGAUCUUCGGACCUUGCGCGAUUGAAUGAGCCGAUGUGGGAUUAGCUAGUUGGCGGGGUAAAGGCCCACCAAGGCGACGAUCCGUAGCUGGUCUGAGAGGAUGAUCAGCCACACUGGAACUGAGACACGGUCCAGACUCCUACGGGAGGCAGCAGUGGGGAAUAUUGGACAAUGGGCGCAAGCCUGAUCCAGCCAUACCGCGUGUGUGAAGAAGGCCUUCGGGUUGUAAAGCCCUUUUGUUGGGAAAGAAAAGCAGCAGGUUAAUACCCCGCUGUUUUGACGGUACCCAAAGAAUAAGCACCGGCUAACUUCGUG
rnacentral:rRNA from 1 species